rnacentral:rRNA from 1 species
UACGGAGGGAGCUAGCGUUAUUCGGAAUUACUGGGCGUAAAGCGUACGUAGGCGGCUUUGCAAGUUAGAGGUGAAAGCCUGGAGCUCAACUCCAGAACUGCCUUUAAAACUGCAUCGCUUGAAUCCAGGAGAGGUGAGUGGAAUUCCGAGUGUAGAGGUGAAAUUCGUAGAUAUUCGGAAGAACACCAGUGGCGAAGGCGGCUCUCUGGGACGGUACUGACGCUGAGACGCGAAAGCGUGGGGAGCGAACAGG